UACGUAGGGUGCAAGCGUUAAUCGGAAUUACUGGGCGUAAAGCGUGCGCAGGCGGUUCGCUAAGACAGAUGUGAAAUCCCCCGGCUUAACCUGGGAACUGCGUCUGAUACUGGGAGGCUUGAGUAUGGGAGAGGGAUGUAGAAUUCCAGGUGUAGCGGUGAAAUGCGUAGAUAUCUGGAGGAAUACCGGUGGCGAAGGCGGCAUCCUGGACCAUUACUGACGCUGAGGCGCGAAAGCUAGGGGAGCAAACGGG
rnacentral:rRNA from 1 species